UACGUAGGGAGCAAGCGUUGUUCGGAUUUACUGGGCGUAAAGGGCGCGUAGGCGGCACCGCAAGUCGACUGUGAAAUCUCCGGGCUUAACUCGGAAAGGUCAGCCGAUACUGCGGGGCUAGAGUGCAGAAGGGGCAACUGGGAUUCUCGGUGUAGCGGUGAAAUGCGUAGAUAUCGAGAGGAACACCUGCGGCGAAGGCGGGUUGCUGGGCUGACACUGACGCUGAUGCGCGAAAGCUAGGGGAGCGAACGGG
rnacentral:rRNA from 1 species